UACGAAGGGGGCUAGCGUUGCUCGGAAUCACUGGGCGUAAAGCGCACGUAGGCGGCUUUCUAAGUCAGGGGGGAAAUCCUGGAGCUCAACUCCAGAACUGCCUUUGAUACUGGAGAGCUUGAGUCCGGGAGAGGUGAGUGGAACUCCGAGUGUAGAGGUGAAAUUCGUAGAUAUUCGGAAGAACACCAGUGGCGAAGGCGGCUCACUGGCCCGGUACUGACGCUGAGGUGCGAAAGCGUGGGGAGCAAACAGG
rnacentral:rRNA from 1 species